rnacentral:SRP_RNA from 1 species
GCUGGGCAUGGUGACAUGUGCCUGUGGUCCCAGCUACUUGGGAGGCUGAGGCAGGAGGAUCGCUUGAGCCCAGGAGGCCAAGGCUGCAGUGAGCUAAGAUGGCGCCACUGCACCUCCAGCCUGGGCAAUAGAGCGAGACCCUAUCUCUA